rnacentral:RNase_P_RNA from 1 species
UGAGCAGACUAUGCGGUAGCGGGAACGUUUUCAGUUCAUGAGGAAAGUCCGGGCAUCACAGAGCAGGAUAGCUGCUAACGGCAGCCGAGGGCGACCUUAGGGCAAGUGCAACAGAGAUAUACUGCCUCAUAUGAGGUGAUGGUGGAAAGGCGAGGUAAGAGCUCACCAGAGUGCUGGAGACAGCAUUGCUAUGUAAACCCUAUCCGAUGCAACGUCUAUUGGUGCUUCAUAUCUUAACGCCGGCUCGGCGGAUGUGAAGUAAUGACGGCUUGAGCUUGCCGGCGACGGUAAGCGUAGAUAAAUUACCGCACACGACAGAACCCGGCUUAUCGGUCUGGUCACUUU